GNNNNCNUGCAGUCGAGCGGGGANGGUUGCUUCGGUAACUGACCUAGCGGCGGACGGGUGAGUAAUGCUUAGGAAUCUGCCAUUUAGUGGGGGACAACAUUCCGAAAGGAAUGCUAAUACCGCAUACGUCCUACGGGAGAAAGCAGGGGAUCUUCGGACCUUGCGCUAAAUGAUGAGCCUAAGUCGGAUUAGCUAGUUGGUGGGGUAAAGGCCUACCAAGGCGACGAUCUGUAGCGGGUCUGAGAGGAUGAUCCGCCACACUGGGACUGAGACACGGCCCAGACUCCUACGGGAGGCAGCAGUGGGGAAUAUUGGACAAUGGGCGCAAGCCUGAUCCAGCCAUGCCGCGUGUGUGAAGAAGGCCUUUUGGUUGUAAAGCACUUUAAGCGAGGAGGAGGCUCUCUUAGUUAAUACCUAAGAUGAGUGGACGUUACUCGCAGAAUAAGCACCGGCUAACUCUGUGCCAGCAGCCGCGGUAAUACAGAGGGUGCGAGCGUUAAUCGGAUUUACUGGGCGUAAAGCGUGCGUAGGCGGCUUUUUAAGUCGGAUGUGAAAUCCCCGAGCUUAACUUGGGAAUUGCAUUCGAUACUGGGAAGCUAGAGUAUGGGAGAGGAUGGUAGAAUUCCAGGUGUAGCGGUGAAAUGCGUAGAGAUCUGGAGGAAUACCGAUGGCGAAGGCAGCCAUCUGGCCUAAUACUGACGCUGAGGUACGAAAGCAUGGGGAGCAAACAGGAUUAGAUACCCUGGUAGUCCAUGCCGUANACGAUGUCUACUAGCCGUUGGGGCCUUUGAGGCUUUAGUGGCGCAGCUAACGCGAUAAGUAGACCGCCUGGGGAGUACGGUCGCAAGACUAANACUCANAUGAAUUGACGGGGGCCCGCACAAGCGGUGGAGCAUGUGGUUUAAUUCGAUGCAACGCGAAGAACCUUACCUGGCCUUGACAU
rnacentral:rRNA from 1 species